AGAGAGCAUUACUCUUCUCCUUAGCGUCGCUCUCUGCUGGUACAGGUCGCCACAGUGUUGAUAUAAACAAACUAAAAAGGAGUUCCAAUACUGUUCAUAAAAUAACAUGAACCAAACACUGGAUUAAUUAAAACAAUAUGUGAUGUGUACCUGUGCCAAAAAAACAUUUAAUUUAUAAACACUUAUUAACAAUCUUAUAUACAGUGUACGGUCAAAAACAUGAACCAAACGCUGGAUUAAUUAAAACAAUAUGUGAUGUGUACCUGUGCCAAAAAACAUUAAAUUUAUAAAAACUUAUUAAAAAUCUUAUAUACAAUGUACGGUCAAAACAAAUGUAAACAAAUUGUUCCCAAAACUGUGUGUGGCUGUUAAUCAAACAACUAAAAAGAAUUAUUUUUUUGAGCGUACACUGCAAUAAGACUUGAGUUUUAUUUUAUAAUAAAUACAUAUCCAUAAAUUGUGUUAAUUUAAUUAAUGCGUUUUAAAUAUUAUUUUCGUUUAAUUCCAGAAGAACUAUUUCAAAACAUAAGGUAAUUUAUAUAUAUUUCAUAAAUUUAAAUUUUGUGUUUUGUGAACUCGUUUCGUUUAUUUGUGUGCUCUCUUUUUUCUCUUUUCGUUUUAAUUCUACCUAGGGUGGACUAACAUCUACAUACAAAUUGUGUUUUAUUAGGGUGGACCUAUGAACACAAAAUUAAGUGAACAAAAAUUUAAGAAAAAUAAACAUAAAUUUAAAAAAUAAUUAAACAUUAAAUAAAUAAAACAAUUUAAUAAUUUAAUUGAAAAAAAUAUUUUACAAAAUAAACAAAACUAAUAUAAUUUAAAAUGAGGGGAAUGUCGCGGUCAAAUAUUCACCGUUUAACGAAAAAACAAAAGGAAGAGCUUCAGCAAUCGGCUGCUAGAGCUCUUACUUUUGAUACAGAAAAUAACUCUGGAAAUGAAUGCCCAAAUUUAUGUGAACCCGAAUCGGAUAAAAGUGCAUCAAACUAUUCUUUUGAAUAUGAUACCUAUGAAUCUCCGUGAAAAAUUAUUAGAAUGGUACCAUAAUAAUAAUGUUACUAGAGAUCAACUUGAUGCACUUUUAAAAAUUUUGAAUUCGGAAAAUCUAGAUGUUCCUCGUUCGGCUAACGGCCUUCUCAACUUAAAUUUACCUAAAGCGGUUAUCCGUACUGUUAGACCUGGUCACUACACUCACAUUGGCAUCAAAAAUUAUUAGGAAUUUAUAAAAGAUAAGCUCGUAGAUAAUGCCGAAAUAGUUUUAGACGUCAACGUUGACGGACUACCGCUUUUUAAAAGUUCAAAUACCAGUUUGUGGCCAAUUUUAUGAUACUUUCAAAAUAUUCCCAGCAGUGAUGUGUUUUUGAUUGGCUCUUAUGUUGGUAGUCGAAAGCCGGCUAAUGUAGACGAAUGUAUGAGGGAUUUUGUAUCUGAGCUGGUAAAACUUUCUGAUUGUCCCUUUAAAAUUGGUGACAAACGUGUCGUAUUAAAACUAAGGUCUUUUAUCUGUGAUGCCCCCGCAAGAUCGUUUAUGUGUGGGACACCAGGUGCCAACUCAUUUAGUGGCUGCAUGAAAUGCAAACAAGUUGGAAAACGUAUUAGCCAUGUAACUGUUUAUAGUGAAGUUCCAGGUCUUCCAAUUAGCAAUGAUAAAAAUAAAAUUGUCUGUGUACAAAACUGUAGAAAAAAAAUUCACUGGCGAAAAAACUGAUAGAUUUGGAAAUAUUAAUCAAUACAUUUUUAGUAAUUUUAUGAUUUCUAUCAAGAUGACGAAUAAUAUUUGUCAAACCUAAUAUCCCAUUAAAAAUUUCAAAGUUGUUUAAAAAAGAUAAUGGUUUCUUUGUUGAAGGCCACAGAUUUUAAAAUAUAUAUAGUUUUUUUGACACACCAGUCUUAACUUUAUCUUUGGGUAUUCUCCUCACUGAUUGUAAUUGGAACAGUGAAGCAGAAUUGUUUUUUUUUCAAAAUUUCCUCGAAUCGGUUUAUCUUUCGCGUAUUCGUGUCUUGCGUUAUACGACUGCGCCCCUCGGUCGGUUGGGCGGGAGGUGGGCUCUUACGCCUGGGAUUCGCGCGCGACAAAGCUUAGUUAACAUAAAAAUAACUUUAUAAUUAAAAAAAACUGUUGGUGACAAUGACAAAGCUAAAGUACGACUUUUUACAAAAUACCUACUAUCUACUAUCACUAUUUACAUUUUAGCAAUAAAAUGGAUCAGCAUAUGCCCAAAUUUACUUUCACCCCAGUUCCCCUCGAGGCGCCAUCCACUCUCUCUUCCUCUUCGGAGGUCGAGGUAAGAGUUAGAAUGCUCGAGAGCUCAAUGGGGAGGUCGUGGAGGUGAAAAGCCUUAUGACGGCUAUGCUAGAAGCAAACUGCCAAAUGUUGGCGAUUUUAAAGAAGAUGGGACCGGCAGAAACUAAAUUUUUUCCCCAAUUCCCUUUAACUUCCUUUGAACAGUUCAAGGAAGUCGACUCCCAAAUAACUGGGAAUGAGCUUAAAUAUAUUGCAUUAUUGAAAACACUUUUAAAGGACAACCUGCCAAAAAAUUUUAGUAGAAUACUAAGUCCAAGCUUGAUAAUGGAGCUAAAUUAUGGCGGUACGAGGAGCAGGGAAGGUUUUGCGUCCUACGUUCAUUUAAAUGAAACAUUAUUCGAGUCACAAAGGAUGGACGGUUACCAGUAGCUUGAAUAUACGGGAGCAACGGUUUUUUAACGGAUUUAUAGUCAGGUGAAUUUUUUCCAAAUGCAUUCACAUACAAAUUUCAUAAUCAGUGCACAUGAUAUACGAUGGAAC